rnacentral:rRNA from 1 species
CCUACGGGAGGCAGCAGUGGGGAAUAUUGCACAAUGGGGGAAACCCUGAAGCAGCGAAGCCGCGUGAAGGAAGAAGUAUUUCGGUAUGUUAACUCUCAUUAGCCGGGAAGCAAAUGACGGUACCUGACUAAGAAGCCCCGGCUAACUACGGGCCAGCAGCCGCGGUAAUACGUAGGGGGCCAGCGUUAUUCGGAUUUACUGGGUGGAAAGGGAGCGUAGGCGGGUUAGCAAGUCAGAAGUGAAAGCCCGGGGCUCAACUCCGGGACUGCUUUUGAAACUGGUGAACUUGAUUGCAGGAGAGGUAAGUGGAAUUCGUAGUGUAGCGGUGAAAUGCGUAGAUAUUAGGAAGAACACCAGUGGCGAAGGCGGCAUACUGGACUUUAAAUGACGCUGAGGCUCGAAAGCGUGGGGAGCAAACAGGAUUAGAUACCCGGGUAGUC